UUGCACAAAGCCNNNGAGCAUGUGGUUUAAUUCGAAGCAACGCGAAGAACCUUACCAAAUCUUGACAUCCCUCUGACAAACUGUGUAAAGCAGUCUUCUUCGGACAGAGGUGACAGGUGGUGCAUGGUUGUCGUCAGCUCGUGUCGUGAGAUGUUGGGUUAAGUCCCGCAACGAGCGCAACCCUUGUCUUUAGUAGCCAGCAUUUCGGAUGGGCACUCUAGAGAGACUGCCAGGGAUAACCUGGAGGAAGGUGGGGAUGACGUCAAAUCAUCAUGCCCCUUAUGAUUUGGGCUACACACGUGCUACAAUGGCGUAAACAAAGGGACGCGACCCUGUGAAGGCAAGCAAAUCCCAAAAAUAACGUCUCAGUUCGGAUUGUAGUCUGCAACUCGACUACAUGAAGCUGGAAUCGCUAGUAAUCGCGAAUCAGAAUGUCGCGGUGAAUACNNNUCCCGGGCAA
rnacentral:rRNA from 2 species